rnacentral:rRNA from 1 species
GGGCCCGCGUUCCAUUAGCUAGUUGGUAGGGUAAUGGCCUACCAAGGCAACGAUGAGUAGCUGGUCUGAGAGGAUGAUCAGCCACACUGGAACUGAAACACGGUCCAGACUCCUACGGGAGGCAGCAGUGGGGAAUAUUGCGCAAUGGGCGAAAGCCUGACGCAGCAACGCCGUGUGAGGGAUGAAGGCUUUCGGGUCGUAAACCUCUGUCGGAAGGGAAGAACGGGCAUUGGUCUAAUAGGCCUUUGUUUUGACGGUACCUUUAGAGGAAGCACCGGCUAACUCCGUGCCAGCAGCCGCGGUAAUACGGAGGGUGCAAGCGUUAUUCGGAAUUACUGGGCGUAAAGCGCACGUAGGCCGCUUUGUAAGUCAGGGGUGAAAUCCCACGGCUCAACCGUGGAACUGCCCUUGAAACUGCAGAGCUUGAAUCCUGGAGAGGGUGGCGGAAUUCCUGGUGUAGGAGUGAAAUCCGUAGAUAUCAGGAGGAACACCGGUGGCGA